rnacentral:rRNA from 1 species
UACGGGAGGCAGCAGUGGGGAAUAUUGCACAAUGGGCGAAAGCCUGAUGCAGCUAUGCCUCGUGUAUGAAGAAGGCCUUAGGGUUGUAAAGUACUUUCAUCGGGGAGGAAAAACAAAACUAAUAAUUUUAUUUCUUGACGUUACCCGAAAAAGAAGCACCGGCUAACUCCGUGCCAGCAGCCGCGGUAAUACGGAGGGUGCUAGCGUUAAUCAGAAUUACUGGGCGUAAAGAGCACGUAGGUGGUUUUUUUAAGUCAGAUGUGAAAUCCCUGGGCUUAACCUGGAACUGCAUUUUGAAACUGAAAUACUAGAGUAUCGUAGAGGGAGGUAGAAUUCUAGGUGUAGCGGUGAAAUGCGUAGAUAUCUGGAGGAAUACCUGUGGCGAAAGCGGCCUCCUAAACGAAUACUGACACUGAGGGUGCGAAAGCGUGGGGAGCAAACAGGGAUUAGAUACC